rnacentral:rRNA from 1 species
UAUUUUUACCAGAUCCUGAAUGCUUCGAGUCCCAUCUGAUUUUAGAAGUUCAUCAGGUUGGGCCACCUUAGUGCUUUGAUAGGAGACCACCAUGAAAUACCAGGUGCUGGAUCAG